rnacentral:rRNA from 1 species
GACGAACGCUGGCGGCGUGCUUAACACAUGCAAGUCGAACGAAGUGGCGAACGGGUGAGUAACGCGUAAUCAACCUGCCCUUCAGAGGGGGACAACAGUUGGAAACGACUGCUAAUACCGCAUACUGAAGGAGGGGAUUGCGUCUGAUUAGCUAGUUGGAGGGGUAACGGCCAACCAAGGCGAUGAUCAGUAGCCGGGCUGGAGGGGUGGACGGCCACAUCGGGACUGGAAAAAGGCCCAGACUCCUAAGGGGGGGAGCCGGGGGGAAACUUCCGAAAUGGACGAAAGUCUGACGGAGCAACGCCGCGUGAGUGAUGACGGCCUUCGGGUUGUAAAGCUCUGUUAAUCGGGACGCGGUACCGGAAUAGAAAGCCACGGCUAACUACGUGCCAGCAGCCGCGGUAAUAC